GGGCCGUUAGCUCAGUUGGUAGAGCAACUGACUUUUAAUCAGUGGGUCGUAGGUUCGAAUCCUACACGGCUCACCA
rnacentral:tRNA from 15 species